rnacentral:rRNA from 1 species
AGCGAACGCUGACGGCAGGCCUAACACAUGCAAGUCGAACGAACUCUUCGGAGUUAGUGGCGGACGGGUGAGUAACACGUGGGAACGUGCCGUUUGGUUCGGAAUAACUAAGGGAAACUUGUGCUAAUACCGAAUGUGCCCUUCGGGGGAAAGAUUUAUCGCCAUUAGAGCGGCCCGCGUCUGAUUAGCUAGUUGGUGAGGUAACGGCUCACCAAGGCGACGAUCAGUAGCUGGUCUGAGAGGAUGACCAGCCACACUGGGACUGAGACACGGCCCAGACUCCUACGGGAGGCAGCAGUGGGGAAUCUUGCGCAAUGGGCGAAAGCCUGACGCAGCCAUGCCGCGUGAAUGAUGAAGGUCUUAGGAUUGUAAAAUUCUUUCACCGGGGACGAUAAUGACGGUACCCGGAGAAGAAGCCCCGGCUAACUUCGUG